GGCGGACGGGUGAGUAACGCGUAGGUAUCUAUCCUUGGGUGGGGGACAACUGUGGGAAACUACAGCUAAUACCGCAUGAUGACCGAGGUCCAAAGCUCGCGAGAGCGCCUGAGGAGGAGCCUGCGUACGAUUAGCUAGUUGGUGGGGUAAAGGCCUACCAAGGCGACGAUCGUUAGCUGGUCUGAGAGGAUGAUCAGCCACAUUGGGACUGAGACACGGCCCAAACUCCUACGGGAGGCAGCAGUGGGGAACAUUGGACAAUGGGCGCAAGCCUGAUCCAGCAAUGCCGCGUGUGUGAAGAAGGUCUUCGGAUUGUAAAGCACUUUCGACGGGGACGAUGAUGACGGUACCCGUAGAAGAAGCCCCGGCUAACUUCGUGCCAGCAGCCGCGGUAAUACGAAGGGGGCUAGCGUUGCUCGGAAUGACUGGGCGUAAAGGGCGCGUAGGCGGAUGGCACAGUCAGAUGUGAAAUUCCCGGGCUUAACCUGGGGGCUGCAUUUGAUACGUGUGAUCUGGAGUGAGGAAGAGGGUCGUGGAAUUCCCAGUGUAGAGGUGAAAUUCGUAGAUAUUGGGAAGAACACCGGUGGCGAAGGCGGCGACCUGGUCCUUGACUGACGCUGAGGCGCGAAAGCGUGGGGAGCAAACAGGAUUA
rnacentral:rRNA from 1 species